rnacentral:rRNA from 1 species
AUUGAACGCUGGCGGCAGGCCUAACACAUGCAAGUCGAACGAGUGGCGGACGGGUGAGUAAUGUCUGGGGAUCUGCCCGAUGGAGGGGGAUAACUACUGGAAACGGUGGCUAAUACCGCAUACUAUCGGAUGAACCCAUAUGGGCUUAGCUAGUAGGUGGGGUAAAGGCUCACCUAGGCGACGAUCCCUAGCUGGUCUGAGAGGAUGAUCAGCCACACUGGAACUGAGACACGGCCCAGACUCCUACGGGAGGCAGCAGUGGGGAAUAUUGCACAAUGGGCGCAAGCCUGAUGCAGCCAUGCCGCGUGUAUGAAGAAGGCCUUCGGGUUGUAAAGUACUUUCAGCGAGGAGGCGUUACCCGCAGAAGAAGCACCGGCUAACUCCGUGCCAGCAGCCGCGGUAAUAC